rnacentral:piRNA from 1 species
ACGGCACAAAGCUACCUUUACUCCAGCUGU